rnacentral:rRNA from 1 species
GGAGGAGCCGUCGAAGGUGGGACCGAUAACUGGGGUGAAGUCGUAACAAGGUAGCCGUAUCGGAAGGUGCGGCUGGAUCACCUCCUUUCUAAGGAA